rnacentral:rRNA from 1 species
UACGGAGGGUGCAAGCGUUAAUCGGAAUUACUGGGCGUAAAGCGUGCGUAGGCGGUUCGUUAAGUCUGUUGUGAAAGCCCCGGGCUCAACCUGGGAAUGGCAAUGGAUACUGGCGAGCUAGAGUGUGUCAGAGGAUGGUGGAAUUCCCGGUGUAGCGGUGAAAUGCGUAGAGAUCGGGAGGAACACCGGUGGUGUAGACGGCUCUCUGGACCGUAACUGACGCUGAGACACGAAAGCGUGGGUAGCAAACAGG